GCCAAAAGUACAAAGGUUUAGAAGGGGAGCUGGACUGACUCAGCCUGCCCUGUUGGAGGUUCUGUCCUCUGGCCACCAAAUGCAAAUCCCAGGUGCUUCAUGCACCAGGCUGGGGUGUAACCUGCUGUAAUCCACCUUUGGUGGAGGUGAUGCUCUGGAGGAUCCAAUGGGACAAGGAGAUGAAGAGUCCAGAAUGGGAUGGAGGACAGACCAGGCGGAUCCUUCCCUGGAGGCAGAUCUGUGAUCCUCUGGUAUUAUUCCUGGUCUGCGCUGCCUCUAGGCAUUUUGGAGCAGUUGGACAGAAGGUCUCCGUUCAAAUCCUGCCUCUAACACAGAGACUCUGACUCUUUGACCCAGCACAAAUCACUCCGACUCUCCAAGACAGUAAGUUCCAGGACAUUUGCUGAUCUGUAUGGGGAGAGGGCAUGUCUCCACCUGUGAAGUACCCACACUGAUGAAAUCACCCCUUCCAAGGUUGUUGUGAGAUAGUGGUAUAUGGAAAACACUUCACAACUGAGAGCCCUAUUAUAGAAAUGAUUGCUAUUAUUAUCCUACUACAGUCUUACAAAUGUAAUUACUUAAUUGUACUCUUGAGUUUCUCCCUGCUGGCUAGAUUGUAAGUUACUUGAGGUCAGGACCAUGGCUUACCCUUCUUUUGCAUUAUUCCACAGUGCCUAAAGCGGUGCUGAACAUAGAGUUUAGAGCUUGAAUUGGCAAAGGAGACGUGAUAGUGUCCAUGUGCUAACUCCCUCCUCUAAAUUAGCA
ensembl:lncRNA